CCAAUAGCGUAUAUUAAAGUUGUUGCAGUUAAAAAGCUCGUAGUUGAACUUCGGGGUCUACCCAUUGGUCAGGCUUAAUUGUCUGCACUGGUGAGAUGGAUCUCUACCUUCUGAGGAACUUUCAUGCCAUUUAUUUGGUGUGAUGGGAAAUCAGGACUGUUACUUUGAAAAAAUUAGAGUGUUUAAAGCAGACUAUCGUCUGAAUACAUUAGCAUGGAAUAAUGAAAUAGGACGGACUGAUUCUAUUUCGUUGGUUUCUAGGAUCAUCGUAAUGAUUAAUAUGGAUAGUUGGGGGCAUUAGUAUUCAAUUGUCAGAGGUGAAAUUCUUGGAUUUAUUGAAGACUAACUACUGCGAAAGCAUUUGCCAAGGAUGUUUUCAUUAAUCAAGAACGAAAGUUAGGGGAUCGAAGACGAUCAGAUACCGUCGUAGUCUUAACCAUAAACUAUGCCGACUAGGGAUCGGACGAAGUUAAUUUUAUAAUGACGCGUUCGGCACCUUACG
rnacentral:rRNA from 1 species